GACGAACGCUGGCGGCGUGCUUAACACAUGCAAGUCGAACGGCAAGGCCCUGCUUUUGUGGGGUUCUCGAGUGGCGAACGGGUGAGUAACACGUGAGUAACCUGCCCUCGACUUUGGGAUAACUUCAGGAAACUGGGGCUAAUACCGGAUAGGAGCUCCUGCUGCAUGGUGAGGGUUGGAAAGUUUCGGCGGUUGGGGAUGGACUCGCGGCUUAUCAGCUUGUUGGUUGGGUAGUGGCUUACCAAGUCUUUGACGGGUAGCCGGCCUGUGAGGGUGACCAGUCACAUUGGGCCUGGGGUACGGCCCAGACUCCUACGGGGGACAGCAGUGGAGAAUAUUGCACAAUGAUCGGAAGCCUGAUGCAGCAACGCCGCGUGCGGGAUGACGGCCUUCGGGUUGUAAACCGCUUUCGCCUGUUACGAAGCGUGAGUGACGGUAAUGGGUAAAGAAGCACCGGCUAACUACGUG
rnacentral:rRNA from 1 species